rnacentral:rRNA from 1 species
UACGAAGGGGGCUAGCGUUGCUCGGAAUCACUGGGCGUAAAGCGCACGUAGGCGGAUUGUUAAGUCGGGGGUGAAAUCCUGGAGCUCAACUCCAGAACUGCCUUUGAUACUGGCGAUCUUGAGUCCGGGAGAGGUGAGUGGAACUGCGAGUGUAGAGGUGAAAUUCGUAGAUAUUCGCAAGAACACCAGUGGCGAAGGCGGCUCACUGGCCCGGUACUGACGCUGAGGUGCGAAAGCGUGGGGAGCAAACAGGG